UUUUACAGCCGCCUCUCCCUCUUAGUCUCUUCCCUGCGGAGUGCGGACCCUGCCCUUGCCUUGCUAGUUGCUUCCGAGUUCAGCAGCCUUGGCAGGAGGGGCUUACGGAGGACUGGAGGAAGAGAAGAGGGCUCUCGCCUCUCCGUGGAAGCAAAUUUGCGCCUUUACCUUCUGCACCUUCUUCUUGCCGAUCUAAAUCACUCAGGUAGUCAGGUUUUAUCUUCAAUUUCAAUUUAAUACAAAAAAUCAAAGUAUAUACAAACAAUUACUUAUAUAAAUUAUUAGCCCUAGUAAGUAGUAAUAUAAAUAUAUAAUACUACAUUGAAUGUGAAUUGUUGAUUUUCUGUGACUUCUGUCUAAACUGUGCUGUACAUUUGCGUGUGUGUAUUAUUUGCCUUUCAUAGUAUUUGUGGUUGACCCUUGGACUAGUGGUAGAUUAUUUAUGAGUUUAUCAUUUGGGAUGAUUAGAAAGAUUUUUUCUUGUGGGUGUCUACUUUGAUUCAAAAAAAUAUUAUUCGACUCUUAGCAAUUGAUGAAAUUAUUAUGAAAUGUUUAAAUUGAUGAAAUUAUUGAUUAGCAAUUGAUGUUUUUAUUUAUAUUAGAUUAUGGAUAAAUACUUGAUUAAGCGACAAAGAACUGUUGAUUCUUCUAAUAAUCAAUUAUCAAGUUCCGAAGCAACCGAAAGAAGCUCUUCAAGCGUCAAUAAAUAAAUUUUUUUUAUUGAUGUAUUUUGUCCCCCCUUAAAAUAUGUUCUGGUUCUGCCACUGUCUGGGCCAAUAGACUCGACUCCUGUUAUUUACCGAGUUAGAUCUCACUGUUUUUUGUUCAUACUUCAUAGGGUUGCCUGCUUGAUUUUGUUUAAAUAUUUUAUGUGCAUCGGAGAUGCAGUGCCACGUGAUCAUGUCAUACUCCAGGACAACCAAUGGAACCAAGUAGUUAGUGAGCCAUUUGAUCUCCACAUGGCUCCAUGCAUAUUAUUUAAACAAGUGAAGGCAUGUGCAGCAUUGUACUCUUUUUUUGCAUUUCCAAUGCUCGAGUUACAUCUUAUAUGCACAACUACCCUAAAGUAUUUUGUUUGGUUAAAUCAUUGUUUUGGUGUAGGAUGCAGUAGGUAUUCGUGCAUUGGACAGAUUAGUUCAAGAAGAAGACUCAUCAGCACAACCAAAACUACGGAAAUUAAGUGCAGAAGAAAAUUUCAUGGGAUAACCAAGCCUCCUUUGGCUUCUUGAGCACACCAGGAGGUCUUGUAUCCGUCUCUGAUAAAAGUAGGAAUGUUAAAUUUCGCCUAAAACUAGCAAAUAAAAAAAUUCAUGGGAUUCUCUCAUAAAGAAAAUUACGUGCAGAAGCUGAAUGGUUAUUAUUAUUGACUUGAUUGAAGUAAUACGAUCAGACCUGUCUAACUAAAGAAUUUAAUGGGAAUACCAAUGUGAGCUUGUCAUAGCAAUGUGGGGUUGAUAUAGCUACGUCGUGGUGGUCGUAAAGGAGUGGCAGCAGAAUCUUACUUCGAUAGUUGUCUCCAUUUUUAUUUUGUUUUACUUUUUUGUAAAACUUAUACUAUUACAGUUCAAUUCUAGAGCGGUUCCC
rnacentral:lncRNA from 1 species